ensembl:lncRNA
AUGGGCUUUGAAUCAUUUGUUCACCCGAUUUGUUCAAAACGCGGAUGCAUUCAGAAACAAAACACUGCUGUUGUUAUGAGAUGCACAACCGUUCUGCUGUGGCUUUAUAGGGAAUAUUUUUGUUGGCAAAAUUAAGUGAAAACAGACAAUAUUGUGUUUAAAAUAUAACACUAUAUAAACUUCUUAUCCACUGAACUGUUGUAUAAAAUCAUUUUUGCACUUGUGCUAUUCAGGACAAAAACAGCACUCCUGUGAUUUUGCUUUCACUGCUUGUGUGAUAUCAUAUUUAUUAAAUUACAAAAACUCAUAAAGGGGGAUUUUUUGCCCAAUAUCUUAAAUUGUAAGGGCAUAACUGCAUUUAUGGACUACAUCACGCAGUGAGUCGUUGCCCUGUAUCAUGUUUGUCAACAGUCAACUGUAUGAAAUGUAAGAUGACGUACAGGAAUAUAUUUCUCAGUUUGUCAGAUGUUUGUUGUGCACUAAUAUGUUACUUUGAUUAUGUCCUCACAGGCUUGAACAUCUGGCCAAGACCUCAGAGAGGCCGCCGUCAGUGGCUGCGGAGGCCUGUCCCUGAUGCGUCUCAUUGGAUACAUUUCAAGGCUGGGAUUCAUCUGCGCAUGCCAUUUUCCAAAGCUGUUCAAUUUUAAAGAACAAUCUUGCGGAUGAACACAAUCACCAUCAUCUCAAAACACAAUAAUGAUGUUUGUGACGCUCUGUCUGAAGUUUUUCGAUACACACUGACCUUUGACCGGACCGCAGCUGAGUAAGUGUGAACGAGAGGACUCUCUUUUCUUACACUUGUUUUGUUUCUGAAGAGGAACAUCUGUGCAAACUCAAACUUCUUGUGUAACAGUCAUUUGUGUUGUACAGAUGUAAAACAUGGGAUGUUUAAUACCAGCGGGAUUUUAACUUGACUUGGCAGUUUAUCCAGGUUCACCGGCCAACAGCUUCCACAAUGGGAAACGCAUUCAGCCUGUUACAUAAUGCAGCAGUUGCAGGCUUUCUGCUAUAUUGAUGUCACAAGACCUCAUUGUAUUGCAUGUUUUAUUCAAUCAUUUUAAUGCAGUUAUAUCUGAAGAUGUCUUAACCUUUGCCAGUCUAAUCAAAUGAGUCAAGAUGUUAACAAUCAUGGCUGAUAUGAUUUACUUUUCAUUCAUCACACUAAAAAUUGAAGGUCAAGUUGAGUGUGUUUCAUUGUGCAAUACAGUAUUCAUACAGAAAAUUCCAUGCACAAUAUGCAUACUGUAGAAAUAGCACUGUAGUAUGAUAUUCCCAACACAGCCGAAGUGUUGGACACAGUGAGUCGUCUGAAUUCACUGUAAGUUAUCCAUGUACAUAGACUCUUACAUGCAGCUCUACAAACUCGUGUGCUUCCAACUCAAACUUCCCAAUAUGACAUCACAGGAGGCGGAGCUUAUUUUCCUUCCCUUCAUAAUGCCUUAUGGGUACAGAGAGAGGAUUCAGUGAGUUCUCAUAACAAACGUUUCAAUAACACUUUACAGUAAGGUUCUACUUGUUAUCAUUAGUGAACUGCUUCAGUUAAAAUUAACUAAUAAUAAAAUGAACUAAACCAUUGUAUUAAAGCA